rnacentral:rRNA from 1 species
UACGUAGGGUGCGAGCGUUGUCCGGAAUUAUUGGGCGUAAAGGGCUCGUAGGCGGUUUGUCGCGUCGGGAGUGAAAUCCACUGGCUUAACUGGUGGCUUGCUUUCGAUACGGGCAGACUGGAGGUAUGCAGGGGAGAACGGAAUUCCUGGUGUAGCGGUGAAAUGCGCAGAUAUCAGGAGGAACACCAAUGGCGAAGGCAGCACUCUGGGACGUGACUGACGCUGAGACGCGAAAGCGUGGGGAGCAAACAGG